rnacentral:rRNA from 1 species
ACGUAGGGUGCAAGCGUUGUCCGGAAUUACUGGGCGUAAAGCGCACGCAGGCUGAAUUAUAAGUCGGUAGUCAAAUACGGAGGCUCAACUUCCGGAUAUCUAUCGAUACUGGAAAUCUAGAGUAUGUGAGAGGGAAGCGGAAUUCCCGGUGUAGCGGUGAAAUGCGUAGAUAUCGCGAGGAACACCGGUUGCGAAGGCGGCUUCCGGGCACAAUACUGACGCUCAUGUGCGAAAGCUAGGGCAGCGAACGG